AUGAACGCUAGCUACAGGCUUAACACAUGCAAGUCGAGGGGCAGCAUGGUCUUAGCUUGCUAAGGCUGAUGGCGACCGGCGCACGGGUGAGUAACACGUAUCCAACCUGCCGUCUACUCUUGGCCAGCCUUCUGAAAGGAAGAUUAAUCCAGGAUGGCAUCAUGAGUUCACAUGUCCGCAUGAUUAAAGGUAUUUUCCGGUAGACGAUGGGGAUGCGUUCCAUUAGAUAGUAGGCGGGGUAACGGCCCACCUAGUCAACGAUGGAUAGGGGUUCUGAGAGGAAGGUCCCCCACAUUGGAACUGAGACACGGUCCAAACUCCUACGGGAGGCAGCAGUGAGGAAUAUUGGUCAAUGGGCGAUGGCCUGAACCAGCCAAGUAGCGUGAAGGAUGACUGCCCUAUGGGUUGUAAACUUCUUUUAUAAAGGAAUAAAGUCGGGUAUGCAUACCCGUUUGCAUGUACUUUAUGAAUAAGGAUCGGCUAACUCCGUGCCAGCAGCCGCGGUAAUACGGAGGAUCCGAGCGUUAUCCGGAUUUAUUGGGUUUAAAGGGAGCGUAGAUGGAUGUUUAAGUCAGUUGUGAAAGUUUGCGGCUCAACCGUAAAAUUGCAGUUGAUACUGGAUGUCUUGAGUGCAGUUGAGGCAGGCGGAAUUCGUGGUGUAGCGGUGAAAUGCUUAGAUAUCACGAAGAACUCCGAUUGCGAAGGCAGCCUGCUAAGCUGCAACUGACAUUGAGGCUCGAAAGUGUGGGUAUCAAACAGGAUUAGAUACCCUGGUAGUCCACGCCGUAAACGAUGAAUACUAGGUGUUGGGAAGCAUUGCUUCUCGGUGCCGUCGCAAACGCAGUAAGUAUUCCACCUGGGGAGUACGUUCGCAAGAAUGAAACUCAAAGGAAUUGACGGGGGCCCGCACAAGCAGUGGAGUAUGUGGAUUAAUUCGAAGCAACGCGAAGAACCUUACCAGGUCUUGACAUCGUAUGCAUAGCUCAGAGAUGAGUGAAAUCUCUUCGGAGACAUAUAGACAGGUGGUGCAUGGUUGUCGUCAGCUCGUGCCGUGAGGUGUCGGCUUAAGUGCCAUAACGAGCGCAACCCUUGUUGUCAGUUACUAACAGGUGAUGCUGAGGACUCUGACAAGACUGCCAUCGUAAGAUGUGAGGAAGGUGGGGAUGACGUCAAAUCAGCACGGCCCUUACGUCCGGGGCUACACACGUGUUACAAUGGGGGGUACAGAGGGCCGCUACCACGCGAGUGGAUGCCAAUCCCUAAAACCCCUCUCAGUUCGGACUGGAGUCUGCAACCCGACUCCACGAAGCUGGAUUCGCUAGUAAUCGCGCAUCAGCCACGGCGCGGUGAAUACGUUCCCGGGCCUUGUACACACCGCCCGUCAAGCCAUGGGAGCCGGGGGUACCUGAAGUGCGUAACCGCGAGGAUCGCCCUAGGGUAAAACUGGUGACUGGGGCU
rnacentral:rRNA from 1 species